AAUAGAGGUGACGUGGGAGGACCAGCAGAGGAAGGCUAAUGGUGCUUUGAAGGAUCCAUCUAAGCUGCAGACGCUGAGAGGCUCAGACACUGCCAAAUCCUUGGACAGUGAUGUUAGCGACGUGUCCGCUAUGCCAUGUGCUUCUCGGCUCAGCAGCAUGAGCCACAUGUCUGUCCAGUCAGAGACGGCAAAGGGAAGCCACAACAUCAGUGAGGGCCAGUUGGAGGUGGGGAUUUUGGCUGAGGUGGCUGAGGAAGUAGUGGGAGGAGCAGAAGGAGGCCGAGUGGGGGCAGAG